rnacentral:rRNA from 1 species
UACGAAGGGGGGCUAGCGUUGUUCGGAAUUACUGGGCGUAAAGCGCACGUAGGCGGAUAUUUAAGUUAGGGGUGAAAUCCCAGGGCUCAACCCUGGAACUGCCUUUAAUACUGGGUAUCUCGAGUCCGAGAGAGGUGAGUGGAAUUCCGAGUGUAGAGGUGAAAUUCGUAGAUAUUCGCAAGAACACCAGUGGCGAAGGCGGCUCACUGGCCCGAUACUGACGCUGAGGUGCGAAAGCGUGGGGAGCAAACAGGG